GAUGAACGCUGGCGGCGUGCCUAAUACAUGCAAGUCGAGCGAACAGACGAGGAGCUUGCUCCUCUGACGUUAGCGGCGGACGGGUGAGUAACACGUGGAUAACCUACCUAUAAGACUGGGAUAACUUCGGGAAACCGGAGCUAAUACCGGAUAAUAUAUUGAACCGCAUGGUUCAAUAGUGAAAUACGGUUUUUCUGUCACUUAUAGAUGGAUCCGCGCCGCAUUAGCUAGUUGGUAAGGUAACGGCUUACCAAGGCAACGAUGCGUAGCCGACCUGAGAGGGUGAUCGGCCACACUGGAACUGAGACACGGUCCAGACUCCUACGGGAGGCAGCAGUAGGGAAUCUUCCGCAAUGGGCGAAAGCCUGACGGAGCAACGCCGCGUGAGUGAUGAAGGUCUUCGGAUCGUAAAACUCUGUUAUUAGGGAAGAACAAAUGUGUAAGUAACUAUGCACGUCUUGACGGUACCUAAUCAGAAAGCCACGGCUAACUACGUG
rnacentral:rRNA from 1 species